UAUUUGAUAUGUGACAUCUGUGAAAGGAUCAUUUGACUUCUAAAGCUGUAGCCACCUACAGGUUGAGAACCACUAGCAUAAUGGAACAUGUGAUUUACAUGUACAGGUGAGUGAGUAUGGUACCCUUUGUUGUUCUCUCUUUGGAUUUAUUGUUGCAGUUCAACCAAGAAAUACUGUCAUGCUUAUCAGUUCUCAAGACUAUGAACAUAUACUUUCUCUAGAGUAAGAAAUGUAUAAUGCAUCUGUAUGUACAUAUGUUUGUGUUGAGAGUCUGAGUGUAUGCCCAGUAAUAGUCACUGCUAUGGGACUGCUUCUAAAUGCUGGCAUUACAGGAAUCCACUAGAAAAGGGCAGUUUGCCCUUAUAUGGUCCAUUCUAGGAUAAAGAUGUGUGAUGCAGCUUCAGUUACUUAUCAAAGGUCAUCAUAUUUUCAGGUGAGUAUUCAAUAAGUAAUUUGGAGACUCACAUGUGUCCCUGUCAUUGUAACCUGUGCAGAUAGCACUAACAUCUCUUUUAUAUAACUAGUAAGCCUCAGUUUGUGUUAUAUCUUUGCUGAUUGGUCAUGUGGGUUUACUGUUUGUAAGAAGAGAAGAUAAGUAGGGAUGCUGUAACUUUCAUUGGAUUCAAAGGUCUCAUCACUGAGACACUUGCCAUGGAAUUGUGGCACAUAUUCUCCAAAUAGUUUGGGAGUCCUGAUGAUUUAUCCUUGGAAGUCUGCAAGUGUCCGGGUUCUAUGGAUGUGUUCUAAAGAUUGUGACAUUAAUUAGGGACUUCCAAUUCCAGAUAGAAUAAGAAAUAUACAAAAUACUAUGUUAGGAUGUAGUUUUCAUAGACAGUAAACUACGUCAUAGUAAGAUGAAAGAUCAUAAAGUUGCAUACUGUAAAUAUCAAAGUACCAAAGUUGGCCUACUUACAGAAUAAAACAGACAUUUCCUGUGCUUGGGUGAGUACUGAUGAUAUCUGUAAUGCUUUUUGUAAAUGUGCAUUUGUGGCAGGUAUUCAGGUACAAAGUAAUGUUGUCCUUAGAAAUUCUUAUGAAGACAAGUUUGUGUUCUAUGGUCAAAAAAUAAUGAUGGCCAUGCAAGUAAUAAGAGAUUUAUAGUGCCUGGUUCUUUCUCAUGGCUUUUUAAAAUUUUUACCCUAAACUUAAUUAUAAUCUUUGCAUAUUUUAUAGGUACACAGUCAAGAAAGGAUGGACUCUCAUAACAAUACUUGUACAUCAAAUUCAUCCAAGUAUCCAGAUAGAAUUAGAGUGCUCUUUAACAAUAAUAGUCAAGGUCAAGAAAGGAUGGACCGUUCUGCAUUGAGGUCGAAUGGAGAGUCAUUCAAGUAUCCAUGGACAGUGGAGUAGUCUCUCCACAAUAGUUGUGGGCAAAGGAAUGUGAAUCAGUCCUGAUAGUGAAAAGUGGCUUCACAUACAUGGGUUUUGGGGUUUUUUGUUUUGUUUUGUUUUGUUUUGUUUUGUUUUUACUUUUUUCUAUAAUUGAACUCCUCCCCCCUCAGACAAGAUAUAAAAGUGAACUAAAGGAGGUGGUCAAGAGAAUUGCUGAUGGCUUCAAGGUAAAUGCUGAUGGUGACCCCUUCACAAAACAGGAAGUCAGAUUCUCCUGAUCCUGCAAGGGUGUUGAGGAUGUCUCCAAUGCUUUUUAUAACCACAUGUUUGUGAUCAGUAUUCAGGUACAAAUGAUUUGGGUCCUUAGAAACCUUCAUGAAGAGAUGUUUAUAUGAUUUACACAGGAGAAAAUGAAUGUUAAGUCUAUGUAAAUCAAUAAAUUUGUUUGUCACUGAUGGUGACUUAGAGCCAAGUUGUAAGCCUUGAAUAUUUUGCAGGUUCUCUUCCUAUAACAUUCAUAUUUCUUCAUCCUACACUUGAACCCACAGAAAUCCACCUGCCUCUGCCUCCCGGGUGCUGGAAUUAAUGGUGUGUGCCAUGCUCAUAUGUCCACAGUUUACAUUUCUUAUUUUAUAUAUCAUUGUGAGAAAGGAACUUGCUCUGUUGGCUAUGCUGUCCUUAACAUCACUCUGUAGCCUAGGCAGGCCUUGAUCCUCUUCUCUCACUCAGCAUCCUGUAUUUCUGUGAUUCUAGGCCUUUGCCUCCAGGACUAGAUGGUGUUUUCUUAUGGAUUAUCUGAAGGAGGAUAUUAUCCCUGAGAGAUUAUUGGCUGGAGAUUGUUCUUAACCAUGUAAAUGGAUAUCUGAUAUGUAUCCCCAGUGAAAGGGUUGGUCCAGCACUAAGGGGGUCACCACUACAGCUAUAAAGGCUGCUGAUGCUCACACACAUAGGAAUCCUAGAUCAAACCUGUGGAUUUUGAGGAGCUGAUUAUAUCAGAGUUAAUUGGCACUUUGACCUGCCAGUCUAAUAGUUAAGAUGCUUAUUCUUUACAUAUAAUGGUGGAAAUAUAAACAACUUACCAGCUGGAAGGUAAAUUCCUAUUGCUGAAGACACCAUGCACUUCAGAUACAGAGCUCAAGAGACUCCUGAGAUGUGACUGAGCACAAAGACCCCUACCUGAGGACUGGCUUUUAUGGUACCAGAUGACACCAUGCAAGUUACCAGUGGAAGGAAGCAACCAACAAAUCCAACCUGGUUAUGAUGUCUAUGAACCACAAAGACCAACAUAGCAUGUUAACUGCAAGGGCGCAAUAGUGACAUGCAUGCCCCUGUGUUAACCAACAACUCUCUACUUGGAUAAUCCUGUCGGAAGAAACAGGCAACUCAACAAUGGCCAUGAGUAGAAAUUUGUUACCUACCAUGUCUGGACAGGGGAAGUCUUCUGCAAUAGUGAAAAUCUAAUCUUCAAUUCCCAGGGGAGGAAGGAUUGCUUUCCUUGAAUUUGUGUUGUCUUAUCACUUUUCAAAGUGCCCAUGCUUAUACAGCUCCAGAUCAUAGUCCAGCACCAGGUGAAGUCAGAACAGUAACUCAAGCAGGGGUGGAACCCAAAGGUCUGAGUUUAUGACGGUGAAAGAUCCUUUUAUAUGACCUUUUUCCUUGGAGUUCGGCAAGUAUUCAAGAAGUACUGACAAGUCCUUCAAUGAUCCAUUUGGCCAAGGAAAUUUGAAAAUAUGCAGGUAUUAUGAAAUGGUGAAGUUCUGGAACUUGGGGCAUCCAUGGGAUUGAAAUAUAUGGAAAUAUUUAUGUGGAAUCCUACGAAUUUUGAGACCAUGAAGAUAUUCAAGCAUUUAUGAUUUUGUUCCCCAUGACUGCCAAGCCUGUCAACGGCUUACAAGUGUGUAGUCAAAAGAACAUGGCUUUCUGACAUGGAUGUUGAACUUGGAUAAUUUCAAAAAUCCAGGUAGAAUGGACAUAUCCUGUAAUUGUAACAACCUUGUAUAAAGUAAAUUAUCUCUAAUAUAUAUAUCUAUAUAUAUCAUAAUAUCUUCUUCAGAAUCUUGUAAUAAGUCCAGAACGAAUGUCAAAUUGCUAGUAAGUAUGUGAUAUUUGCACUUUGCAAGUAAAUCCUAAUUUCUAUGAAAUAAAACAUAAACCAUUUGA